rnacentral:lncRNA from 1 species
GGGAUGGUGAGGAGGAGUCAGGGUGUGUGAUUCACAUGGGCCGUUCAGACAGAGAAGAAACGAUUAGCAAUUUAUGGUUAUAAACUAGAGCUAAUGACAUCAAACUGAAAGUAGUGGCAGAUACACCAGGGAAUUUUGUUGCCAACCAAAUACCUUGACAGGCUGAGGAGAUUGAAGGACAGUACCUUAUGAUGUUCAACAAGAAGUGUAACGACCUGCAGCUGUGGAAGAAUAACUCCACACACAGGUACAUGCCGUUGGAAAGUAAUUUUUCAGAAAAAGACUUGGGCUGCCCUUUUGACAUCAAACUUAAUGCGACCCAGCAGUUUGUCCUUGCUGCAAAGAAGGCUAAUGGUAUCCUGGGCUUCAUUAGGC